GAUUAAAAAAAAAUAAGAAGGGAGAAGAGAAGAUCCAGGAUAGAAAACUGUGGAACACCCAUGUUUAUCAGGAUGAUUCUCAAGAAUAGCCAAGGAGAAAGGACCCACAAGCAAAACCUCUUCUCAUAUCCUGACUUUUCUCCUGGCUUCCUCUCCAUGUUGAACUCUUGGAAAGAGUGCUUUUUUUGAUGUCUAACACUCAAUUUCUCUUGUGAGAGCUUUCAAAACUCCAGCUCCAAUAAAGAUAAAAUGUGUUGCA
rnacentral:lncRNA from 1 species